UGGGGUUGCCAGUAUGUCAGAUCACCUCUAGGGUCUCCUUUAGCACCACCACAGAACGCGGCUCUUGGAGAUGCUCACCCAGCAACGGAUGGAGAAGAUGGAUCACAGACCAAACACGGCCAGACGUAAGAUGAAGCUGAAAGAGCUUUUCCGGAAGACUCUACCAAGGCGGCUGCCAAAUGUGGCAUCUCAGCCUGGCAUGAAAGAAGGAAAGGGAGCGUGGCAGAGGAACCAAAGAGGAAACACAGGGCCUGCAGGAUCCCAUGAAACUGCCUUCCCUGGAAUGUCAACUCCCUGACUGAAGGGCCUUUGGUCACUGGAGUAUCCCAGAAAUCAGAAGAGUGCUUGGCAUACAGUAGAUGCUCAAUAAUGUGAAUGAAAGUCAUCUGAAAGACCUGGUCCUUCUCGCCUCUCUUUCCAAUUUCACUUUGAACCUGACCCCUCCAUCCUCCUGUGUUCUGCUACAUCUGUUUCUAUUCCCCAAACACGCCAAGCUCAAGCUGGGCUUGGGGUGCUCACAUGUCACUGUUCUUUUGGCUGAGAAUGCUCUUGCCUCCAAUCCUGGUGUGGCUAGCUGCUUUCAUUACGCAUAUUUCAGGUCAAAUGUCAUCACUUCAGUGAGGCCUUCCCUGAAAUAGAUAGGUCCUCCCAUCUGAUUUCGUUGUCUUCAUUGCAUGUAUUAUUUUAUUUACAUGUUUAUUGGUCUGUUAGCUGUCUCUUCCCACUAUAAUAUAAGCUCCAUGAGGACACAGACCUUGUCUGUGUUCUCAAGCCUUGAAGAGUACCAGAACAUAAAAGGUACUCAGUAUGUAUUUCUUAGGUUAAUGAAUAAGUAAAUAAACAGUAGGUAUUAUUAUUGUUUUUUCAAGAUAUAGAUUGAGAAAAACCAUAAAUUUCACCCCUUUCUCCUCCCCUCUUCUGUG